GAUGAACGCUGGCGGCGUGCCUAAUACAUGCAAGUCGAGCGAACGGACGAGAAGCUUGCUUCUCUGAUGUUAGCGGCGGACGGGUGAGUAACACGUGGAUAACCUACCUAUAAGACUGGGAUAACUUCGGGAAACCGGAGCUAAUACCGGAUAAUAUUUUGAACCGCAUGGUUCAAAAGUGAAAGACGGUCUUGCUGUCACUUAUAGAUGGAUCCGCGCUGCAUUAGCUAGUUGGUAAGGUAACGGCUUACCAAGGCAACGAUGCAUAGCCGACCUGAGAGGGUGAUCGGCCACACUGGAACUGAGACACGGUCCAGACUCCUACGGGAGGCAGCAGUAGGGAAUCUUCCGCAAUGGGCGAAAGCCUGACGGAGCAACGCCGCGUGAGUGAUGAACGUCUUCGGAUCGUAAAACUCUGUUAUUAGGGAAGAACAUAUGUGUAAGUAACUGUGCACAUCUUGACGGUACCUAAUCAGAAAGCCACGGCUAACUACGUGCCAGCAGCCGCGGUAAUACGUAUGAGGCUAGCGUUAUCCGGAAUUAUUGAGCGUAAAGCGCGCGUAGGCGGUUUUUUAGUCUGAUGUGAAAGCCCACGGCUCAACCGUGGAGGGUCAUUGGAAACUGGAAAACUUGAGUGCAGAAGAGGAAAGUGGAACUCCAUGUGUAGCGGUGAAAUGCGCAGAGAUAUGGAGGAACACCAGUGGCGAAGGCGACUUUCUGGUCUGUAACUGACGCUGAUGUGCGAAAGCGUGGGGAUCAAACAGGAUUAGAUACCCUGGUAGUCCACGCCGUAAACGAUGAGUGCUAAGUGUUAGGGGGUUUCCGCCCCUUAGUGCUGCAGCUAACGCAUUAAGCACUCCGCCUGGGGAGUACGACCGCAAGGUUGAAACUCAAAGGAAUUGACGGGGACCCGCACAAGCGGUGGAGCAUGUGGUUUAAUUCGAAGCAACGCGAAGAACCUUACCAAAUCUUGACAUCCUUUGACAACUCUAGAGAUAGAGCCUUCCCCUUCGGGGGACAAAGUGACAGGUGGUGCAUGGUUGUCGUCAGCUCGUGUCGUGAGAUGUUGGGUUAAGUCCCGCAACGAGCGCAACCCUUAAGCUUAGUUGCCAUCAUUAAGUUGGGCACUCUAAGUUGACUGCCGGUGACAAACCGGAGGAAGGUGGGGAUGACGUCAAAUCAUCAUGCCCCUUAUGAUUUGGGCUACACACGUGCUACAAUGGACAAUACAAAGGGCAGCGAAACCGCGAGGUCAAGCAAAUCCCAUAAAGUUGUUCUCAGUUCGGAUUGUAGUCUGCAACUCGACUACAUGAAGCUGGAAUCGCUAGUAAUCGUAGAUCAGCAUGCUACGGUGAAUACGUUCCCGGGUCU
rnacentral:rRNA from 1 species